rnacentral:rRNA from 1 species
GACGAACGCUGGCGGCGUGCUUAACACAUGCAAGUCGAACGGAAAGGCCCUGCUUUUGUGGUGUGCUCGAGUGGCGAACGGGUGAGUAACACGUGAGUAACCUGCCCUUGACUUUGGGAUAACUUCAGGAAACUGGGGCUAAUACCGUAUAGGAUCUCCUGCUGCAUGGUGGGGGUUGGAAAGUUUCGGCGGGUGGGGAUGGACUCGCGGCUUAUCAGCUUGUUGGUGGGGUAGUGGCUUACCAAGGCUUUGACGGGUAGCCGGCCUGAGAGGGUGACCGGCCACAUUGGGACUGAGAUACGGCCCAGACUCCUACGGGAGGCAGCAGUGGGGAAUAUUGCACAAUGGGAGGAAGCCUGAUGCAGCAACGCCGCGUGCGGGAUGACGGCCUUCAGGUUGUAAACCGCUUUCGCCUGUGACGAAGCGUGAGUGACGGUAAUGGGUAAAGAAGCACCGGCUAACUACGUG